GUGCCAGCCGCCGCGGUAAUACGUAGGCAGCAAGCGUUGUUCGGAGUUACUGGGCGUAAAGAGUGCGUAGGCGGUCCCGUAAGUUUGUUGUGAAAUCUCCCGGCUUAACUGGGAGGGUGCGGCGAAAACUGCGGGGCUGGAGUAUGGGAGAGGUAGGCGGAAUUCCUGGUGUAGCGGUGAAAUGCGUAGAUAUCAGGAGGAACACCGGUGGUGUAGACGGCUUACUGGACCAUGACUGACGCUGAGGCACGAAAGCGUGGGGAGCAAACAGGAUUAGAUACCCUAGUAGUCC
rnacentral:rRNA from 1 species